rnacentral:rRNA from 1 species
GCUAGUAAUCGCGGAUCAGCAUGCCGCGGUGAAUACGUUCCCGGGCCUUGUACACACCGCCCGUCACACCAUGGGAGUCGGUAACACCCGAAGCCGAUAGUCUAACGAAAGAGGACGUCGUCGAAGGUGGGAUUGAUGACUGGGGUGAAGUCGUAACAAGGUACC